GACGAACGCUGGCGGCGUGCCUAAUACAUGCAAGUUGAGCGCUGAAGGUUGGUACUUGUACCAACUGGAUGAGCAGCGAACGGGUGAGUAACGCGUGGGGAAUCUGCCUUUGAGCGGGGGACAACAUUUGGAAACGAAUGCUAAUACCGCAUAAAAACUUUAAACACAAGUUUUAAGUUUGAAAGAUGCAAUUGCAUCACCCAAAGAUGAUCCCGCGUUGUAUUAGCUAGUUGGUGAGGUAAAGGCCCACCAAGGCGAUGGUACAUAGCCGACCUGAAAGGGUGGUCGGCCAACAUGGGACUGGGAAACGGCCCAAACUCCUACGGGAGGCAGCAGGAGGGGAUCUUCGGCAAUGGGCGAAAGUCUGACCGAGCAACGCCGCGUGGGGGAAGAAGGGUUUCGGAUCGUAAAACUCUGUUGGUAGGGAAGAACGUUGGUGGGAGUGGAAAGCUCAUCAAGUGACGGUAACUACCCAGAAAGGGACGGCUAACUACGUG
rnacentral:rRNA from 1 species